AUGAUUUAUGCCUCGUCCUCUCAGUUUUUGUUUGAUUUUCCUAUAUGUUUCCUAGAAGUGGUUUUAGUUUUAUAUCAAGUUUCAACUAUUGGAAUGGUGCUGUUAGAGCUUAGGAUUAAAUUAUGUCAAAUACUUCUUAGACAGACAGAUGGCGGCGAUGGAUGAAGGGAGGGAGAUGAAUAACAAUAACACUGUGAUGUGUCUGCUGACAAAUCCUGAAGGAGAGCCACUUGGUGCUCCACUCUAUCUCCCGCAAAAUGCUGGUCCACCUCAGCUCCAGGAAAUCGUCAACAAGCUUCUUAACAAUGAGGAGAAGUUGCCUUAUGCAUUUUACAUAUCAGACCAGGAGCUUGUCGUUCAGCUAGGGACUUACUUGCAGCAGAAAAAAGUUUCGGUGGAGAAGGUUAUACGCAUAGUCUACCAACCACAAGCGAUUUUUCGAAUCCGUCCAGUCAACCGUUGCUCUGCAACAAUUGCUGGUCAUACAGAAGCUGUGCUAUCUGUUGCCUUCAGCCCUGAUGGAUAUAAUUUGGCCAGUGGUUCUGGUGACACCACUGUACGGUUAUGGGACCUCAAUACACAGACUCCACUCUUCACAUGCUCAGGCCAUAAAAAUUGGGUGCUCUCUAUUGCAUGGUCACCAGAUGGUAAACAUCUUGUGAGUGGUAGCAAGGCUGGAGAACUUUUAACAUGGGACCCACAAACUGGGAAGCAGUCUGGUGGUCCACUUAUUGGCCACAAGAAGUGGAUUACUGGUAUAUCUUGGGAGCCUGUACACCUGCAAGCUCCUUGUCGCCGUUUUGUGAGUUCCAGUAAGGAUGGGGAUGCACGUAUUUGGGAUAUUUCUUUGAGGAAAUGUCUUAUUUGCCUUACUGGUCAUACUUUGGCAGUGACGUGUGUAAAAUGGGGUGGUGACGGGAUGAUAUACACAAGCUCUCAGGAUUGCACAAUCAAAGUUUGGGAAACUUCUCGGGGAAAGUUGAUCCGUGAAUUGAAGGGGCAUGGGCAUUGGGUAAAUUCCCUUGCUUUGAGCACUGAAUAUAUUCUCCGGACUGGGGCGUUUGAUCAUACGGGAAAAACAUAUUCUUCACCAGAGGGUAUGAAGGAGGCAGCUCUUGCAAGAUACAACAAAAUGAAAGGUAAUGCUCCUGAGAGAUUGGUUUCAGGUUCUGAUGAUUUCACAAUGUUUCUUUGGGAACCUGCAAUCAGUAAGCAUCCAAAAGCUCGCCUGACUGGUCAUCAACAGAUGGGCAGUGGUUGGCUAGUGCAUCGUUUGACAAAUCUGUCAAGUUGUGGAAUGGUAUUACAGGGAAGUUUGUCACAUCCUUUCGAGGGCAUGUUGGGCCUGUAUACCAGAUCAGCUGGUCGGCUGACAGUAGGCUUCUGCUAAGUGGAAGCAAGGAUUCCACGCUAAAGGUGUGGGAUAUCAGAACACACAAACUGAAGCAAGACCUUCCAGGCCAUGCGGAUGAGGUUUUUGCUGUGGAUUGGAGUCCUGACGGUGAAAAGGUAGCAUCUGGUGGAAAGGAUAGGGUGCUCAAGCUGUGGAUGAAUUAGGCAUAAACCAACUUGAAGCAAGUAUUGGACAAACCAGAUUGUUGCAUGCGUGCAGAGUGCUCAAUAUAUAUUCAUAAUAGAUCCCCUUGAUCGAACUGAUUGCAAGUUCAAACGACAUGUCUGCACGUUCAAAGUGAGAGAGGCCCAAUAGCUUGGUGCCAACGAAUAUUGUGCGCUGCCACCUUGUACGGGAAGAGUUGAAAGUGCUACAGGUUUGCUAAUCUGCUCGAGGAAGUCGAGCCAUUACUGAUGCCCGUUAUAGGGGUAACAAUGGAAGAUUUUGGUUUCUUGUAAUGCAUGCUAUCCUUGGUUUCUGGUAAGCAUACUGGCUAAUUGAAGCUGUUAGAUUAUUUGGUUUGUUGAAAUUGAUUGUGGAGCUGGUAUUUGGAGCAACGUUCGUAGAAUCUCCCAUAGGGCUUAGUGUUUGGAGCAACCUUAUGAGAAUCAAUCUCUCAUAGGGUUUAGUCUUUGCUGCACGGGCUUUCUAGUUCAUCUUCAGCAUAGGCUUCUAGUACCAGAAGUUCAAAGGCAACGAUGUGAAGAAGGCCGACAAGCCCUAUUCGAUGAUGAAAUAUGAGUUCUUCUACUAGUCUACUGGCUGAUCUAGGUACUGGCAGUUACCGACCUUUAGGAGAUUUUUAGGUGAUCUCUUUUUCUCAUGUUGUUAGCUGAGGGUUGGUCGUACAGGCCUCUACUUCUGGGUAUGUUUGUCUGUUGCUGGUCCCUUGAGGUAAGCAGGUUAGCCUGAGAUGUGCGAUCAAAUUAAAUUAUUCUGUAAUUACCUCUUGUUCUUUACAAUGGCAUUUAUUUUUCACCUUCUUUCUC